rnacentral:rRNA from 1 species
UAGAGUUUUGAUCCUGGCUCAGAACGAACGCUGGCGGCAGGCUUAACACAUGCAAGUCGAACGCCCCGCAAGGGGAGUGGCAGACGGGUGAGUAACGCGUGGGAACGUACCCUUUACUACGGAAUAACUCAGGGAAACUUGUGCUAAUACCGUAUGUGCCCUUCGGGGGAAAGAUUUAUCGGUAAAGGAUCGGCCCGCGUUGGAUUAGCUAGUUGGUGGGGUAAAGGCCUACCAAGGCGACGAUCCAUAGCUGGUCUGAGAGGAUGAUCAGCCACAUUGGGACUGAGACACGGCCCAAACUCCUACGGGAGGCAGCAGUGGGGAAUAUUGGACAAUGGGCGCAAGCCUGAUCCAGCCAUGCCGCGUGAGUGAUGAAGGCCCUAGGGUUGUAAAGCUCUUUCACCGGUGAAGAUAAUGACGGUAACCGGAGAAGAAGCCCCGGCUAACUUCGUGCCAGCAGCCGCGGUAAUACGAAGGGGGCUAGCGUUGUUCGGAAUUACUGGGCGUAAAGCGCACGUAGGCGGGUAUUUAAGUCAGGGGUGAAAUCCCAGAGCUCAACUCUGGAACUGCCUUUGAUACUGGGUACCUAGAGUAUGGAAGAGGUAAGUGGAAUUCCGAGUGUAGAGGUGAAAUUCGUAGAUAUUCGGAGGAACACCAGUGGCGAAGGCGGCUUACGGUCCAUUACGACGCGAGGGCGAAAGCUGGAGGCACCUC